rnacentral:rRNA from 1 species
UACGUAGGGUGCAAGCGUUGUCCGGAAUUAUUGGGCGUAAAGAGCUCGUAGGCGGUUUGUUGCGUCGGCUGUGAAAUCCCGAGGCUCAACCUCGGGUCUGCAGUCGAUACGAGCAAACUAGAGUGUUGCAGGGGAGACUGGAAUUCCUGGUGUAGCGGUGAAAUGCGCAGAUAUCAGGAGGAACACCGGUGGCGAAGGCGGGUCUCUGGGCAGUAAACUGACGCUGAGGAAACGGAAAGCCGUGGGUAGCAAACAGG